UUGUGUUCGUCUCUACAGGAUCAGAGGUGAGACGUUCAGAGCCACGAUCCAGAAGACCUGUGACAGGAAGUGAAGACACACAGAAAGAACGAGACGUUCCUGUGUCACCGGUUCACGCGCUUCGUCAUGAAGUACAACCUGAUGUCCAAGGACAACCUGAUCGUGCCCAUCCUGGAGGAGGAGGUGCAGAACACCUCGUCAGCGGGGGAGAGCGAGGCCUAAACACACUGCUGCCACAAAGGGAGACACAUGUAACACACACAUGACAUGAGGAGACACAUCCACACACCUUGCAUACACAGUACACACAUAUAUAAUAUAUAUAUAUACACACUACAGUGUCUACAAUAAGGCUCUUGUCUCGUAACACUGUCCAUGUCCCUCCACCCUUGUCACCUGUGUCUAUCUCAAAGGAAGUGAGGGGUAGCGGGAGCAGAGUUCAGCCAUGCCUGCAGGACAAGUUGACGUUUUCUAUCCACCUCCCUCUCGCUCUGUGUGUUCAGAUCCACUCUGGGGGUCUGCGUGCAGCCCCUGCUCUCACACUCCUCCUCCUGGGGAAACCCCUUUUACCUUUAAUGUUCUUUAAGCAGCUGGAUUUGCAAAAAUGUAAUCAUGGUGACCUGUAUUGUUGACAAAGGCACACGCUGACAGCCCCUUCCUCUGUAUAUAACCCCCCCCUCUCUCUUAAUUCACUACCAUCAUGUUUUCUGAUGGUGCUUCACUUUUUCGUGUCUGCUUCUGUUUCUCUGUUCGCUUAUUGUGUUGCCUACCAGCCUGUUUUUCGGGGGGUCGUCCUCUGAAAUGGAUCAAUAAAGUAGCCUGCUGACUUAAAGGGAUAGAUCAGAUUGUGUGUGGGGUUGUCGCAUAUCCAUAGUUCAGGUAUGACCGACAGUAACUGCUCUCUAAAAGCCACCAAACUCCAUCGUCAGAAACCAGUUAUUUUUUACAUCGCUGAACACAGAAGUUUCUCGACUUCUGCUGCCUCAACUAGUACGGUUUUUUUGGUGGUAUUUUGUGACUUUAGUGUUUAAAGUAGAUAGUUUGGAUUCACUGACGUCACACGAUUUACACAAAAUAACUAACUGAUAGAGGCAGAAGUAGAACAGCAACGCCUUUUUGUUCUGCGAUUUAUAAAAUCACUGCUUUUAUCGAUGGCGUCUGGCUUUGGCGAGAGCAUCACAAAAUGCUUUGGGUCCUCGUUUGACGGCAAGGUUAAGCAGAGGAAAUAUCGUCAUCUACUGUAGGUAAUACACUUUUAUACAACCCUACUUUAAAACACAAACAUCCCUUUUUAAUGAUGCCAGUGAAACACGAAACGUAGGUGUGUGUGGCUUGUGUGGUAGUGAACAAAGACAAACGUAACCGUGCAGUCAGAUAUUCUUUCUCAUCUCUGAAGUGUUUUUCAGAUCAUUCAGGAACUCUGAUCCUGCUGAGUCGCCCCCAUUUUAAUACCGUGUGAAAUGUGUCGGAUAUUCCCCUUUCCUCGACAGGGCUGGGUCUGAGGGUCACAUGGGACUGAGCUGCUGUAAGCCGGUCUUUCCUAACGCAUUAAGACGAGUAAAAUACAAGGAAAGGAGGAAA